GUUCCCAUUGUGCACUUCACUGUGGCUGAUGGUGAACCCCUGGGCCACUUCUCUUUCUGGCUGUUUGCACACAAAGUUCCAUAGGCAACAGAAAACUUUGAUGCUCUAAGCACUGAAUGUAAAGAACCUGGCUAUAACAGUUCCUCUUUUCACAGGAUUAUCCCAGGAUUCCUGUGACAGGGAGGUGACUUCACACACAAUAAUGAUGGCAGUGGUGGCAAGUCCAUCUACAGAGAGAAAUCUAAGAAUGAAACCUUCAUCCUGAAGUGUACAGAGCCUGGGAUUUAGUCCAUGACAGACACUGGACAGAACACCAAUAGUUCUCAGUUUUCAUCUGCAUGUUAAAAGUAGGGGGAUGGCAACUGUGGUCUCUGGGAAGAUGAAGGGCAUUGUAAAUAGCAUAGAACCCUACAAGACCACCAUUGCUGACUGUGGACAACUCUAA
rnacentral:lncRNA from 1 species